AGUACUUGUGUAGUAAUAAAUUUCGUUAAAACAAGAUGGCUUUUUCAACGCUUUCGGAAUCGGCAUUUCUUUAAACGAAUAAUCGAUGAGCCUUGCCAUUUUCUUCUCUGUUACAUCGAAAUCCUUUCAACAUUGUACUUAGAAGAGUUAUCAUUAACACGAAUUAUCUUUUACCAGGAAAAUAAUGAAACACCUACACGCGUAUUUAUAAGUGGUCCAACAAAUGAGUCCAUUGAUGUUUUACGAAUAAUUCUGUCGCCACCUUAGGUUGAGAAAUUAAAUCACAAUACCUGGCUAAUGUUAAUUACGAUUUAAUAACCGACAUCUUCUCGAAUAGAAAAUUUCUACAUGAUAUGAAUGUAAUAUGAUCGAGUUUAAAAACUUAUCAGAGAGAAGAAGGACAUGGGGUUACCCUUAUAAAAGCUAGUCGUGGUAUAUUCGACAUCAUAGUUACCAAGAUACUCGACCAACAUAGAUCAUCUACUUUGAACAUCCUAACGUCGUUUCUUCGAAAUCGUUUGGUGACAAGAAAGACGAAAAGAUACGAAAUGGCUGUUUCCUAUGGUACGACGAUCGUUCUCGUUCUAUCGUUCGUAACAACGAACGUGUUAUCUCAGACCUUUCAAUAUAGCCAUGGAUGGACGAACGGUAAACGUACUCUCACGGAUGUUAAUUCUCAAUUCUCAUAUCCGCCGGCAUCUUCCUGGAUGAAAAAUGUCUUAGACUUACAAUUCGACAAUCUUCAGUCAACGCAAACUUCACCUUCACCGUCGCCAUCGCCAACUGCAAUUGCGACGACGACGAUGACGGCUACGUCGAUGACACGUUGCGACAUACAUAGAAUGAGAUUAUUCUUUCAGGGAAAUAAUAACGAAGCUCUAUAUUUGGUACCUUGCGAGACAAGUGCGUCAAAAAAAAAUCUCCGUGAACACCACCGCCUCAUUCAGCUAUAAAGAGGAUCAACAUUCGAGGAUAACAAUAAUUAAUCAAAUCUAAAUAAAUAAAAUUUGU